UACGUAGGGGGCAAGCGUUGUCCGGAAUUAUUGGGCGUAAAGCGCGCGCAGGUGGUUCCUUAAGUCUGAUGUGAAAGCCCACGGCUCAACCGUGGAAGGUCAUUGGAAACUGGGGGACUUGAGUGCAGAAGAGGAAAGUGGAAUUCCAAGUGUAGCGGUGAAAUGCGUAGAUAUUUGGAGGAACACCAGUGGCGAAGGCGACUUUCUGGUCUGUAACUGACACUGAGGCGCGAAAGCGUGGGGAGCAAACAGG
rnacentral:rRNA from 1 species